rnacentral:rRNA from 1 species
ACGCUCGACACCUACGGGAGCAGCAGUGGGGAAUAUUGCACAAUGGGGGAAACCCUGAUGCAGCGACGCCGCGUGAAGGAAGAAGUAUCUCGGUAUGUAAACUUCUAUCAGCAGGGAAGAAAAUGACGGUACCUGACUAAGAAGCCCCGGCUAACUACGUGCCAACAGCCGCGGUAAUCUGAGCGGGCGUUGGCAAGGC